AGUAUGUGGACGUAGACCCGAAACCAAGUGAUCUACCCAUGUCCAGGUUGAAGGUGCGGUAAAACGCACUGGAGGACCGAACCAGGGCACGUUGAAAAGUGCUUGGAUGAGGUGUGGGUAGCGGAGAAAUUCCAAUCGAACUUGGAGAUAGCUGGUUCUCUCCGAAAUAGCUUUAGGGCUAGCCUCGGAAGUGAGAAUCGUGGAGGUAGAGCACUGUUUGGACUAGGGGCCCAUCUCGGGUUACCGAAUUCAGAUAAACUCCGAAUGCCAUGUAUUUAUAUCCGGGAGUCAGACUGCGAGUGAUAAGAUCCGUAGUCGAAAGGGAAACAGCCCAGACCACCAGCUAAGGUCCCAAAAUAUCUGUUAAGUGGAAAAGGAUGUGGGGUUGCACAGACAACUAGGAUGUUGGCUUAGAAGCAGCCAUCAUUCAAAGAGUGCGUAAUAGCUCACUAGUCGAGUGACCCUGCGCCGAAAAUGUAACGGGGCUAAACAGAUUACCGAAGCUGUGGAUUGGACCU
rnacentral:rRNA from 1 species